ACGCGAGUGACGCAUAAUAUGUGGGCCGCUCUGGAGCCGUGGUCGCACUGUGUGUGAGUGAGGGAGAGUGAGUGCGGGACCUGAGGCUGUGUGUGUGAACUGUGGCCACUGGCGGGGUCAGGGGGGUGCGGCGGAGCCGCCUGGGAAGAUAAGGAAAUUGAGAUUUGGAGAAGUUAAAUAACUUGACCAAGAUCUCACAGAGGCCAAGCCAUGUCUACAGUAGCGGUACAUGUGGACUCCAAAGCUGAGCUCACUACCCUGCUGGAGCAGUGGGAAAAGGAACAUGGCAGUGGGCAGGACAUGGUACCUAUCCUUACCAGGAUGUCUGAAUUGAUUGAAAAAGAAACUGAAGAAUAUCGUAAGGGGGAUCCAGACCCAUUUGAUGAUCGACAUCCUGGUCGAGCUGAUCCAGAGUGUAUGCUGGGCCACUUGCUGAGAAUACUCUUCAAGAAUGAUGAUUUCAUGAAUGCACUGGUGAAUGCAUAUGUGAUGACAAGCCGAGAGCCCCCUUUAAACACUGCAGCUUGCAGACUCCUACUGGACAUCAUGCCAGGCCUGGAAACUGCUGUUGUCUUUCAAGAAAAGGAAGGAAUUGUGGAGAAUCUUUUCAAAUGGGCCCGAGAGGCUGAUCAGCCAUUGAGGACGUAUUCUACUGGUCUGUUAGGAGGUGCUAUGGAAAAUCAAGACAUUGCUGCUAACUAUAGGGAUGAAAAUUCACAGCUGGUGGCAAUAGUGCUUCGAAGACUGAGGGAGCUGCAGCUUCAGGAAGUGGCUUUGAGGCAAGAAAGCAAGCGUCCUAGCCCACGCAAGCUCUCCUCUGAACCCCUUUUGCCUCUGGAUGAAGAAGCUGUGGAUAUGGACUAUGGUGACAUGGCUGUAGAUGUAGUGGAUGGUGAACAAGAGGAAGCCUCUGGAGAUAUGGAGAUCUCCUUUCAUCUUGAUUCAGGCCACAAGACCAGUAGCAGAGUGAACUCAGCAACCAAACCUGAGGAAGGAGGAUUGCGGAAAAACAAGUCAGCAAAACAGGGUGACAGAGAGAGUUUUAGGAAAGCCAAGCAAAAGUUAGGUUUCUCAUCAUCCGAUCCAGAUCGCAUGUUUAUUGAGCUGUCUAAUAGCAGCUGGUCAGAAAUGUCCCCUUGGGUGAUUGGCACCAAUUAUACCCUUUAUCCUAUGACUCCUGCUAUUGAGCAGCGACUUAUUCUCCAGUAUUUGACCCCCUUAGGAGAAUAUCAGGAGUUACUUCCCAUAUUUAUGCAACUUGGAUCACGAGAGUUGAUGAUGUUCUAUAUCGAUUUGAAACAGACUAAUGAUGUCCUGCUUACAUUUGAAGCACUCAAGCAUCUAGCAUCUCUCCUGCUCCAUAACAAGUUUGCUACAGAAUUUGUUGCGCAUGGUGGAGUACAGAAAUUACUGGAAAUUCCUCGUCCUUCUAUGGCUGCAACUGGUGUGUCCAUGUGCUUGUACUACCUGUCCUACAACCAGGAUGCCAUGGAAAGAGUUUGCAUGCAUCCCCACAAUGUUCUGUCUGAUGUGGUGAACUAUACCUUGUGGUUAAUGGAAUGUUCUCAUGCCUCAGGAUGCUGCCAUGCUACCAUGUUUUUCUCAAUCUGCUUCUCCUUUCGGGCUGUGUUGGAACUCUUUGACCGCUAUGAUGGUCUCCGUCGUCUCGUGAACUUGAUCAGUACUUUGGAGAUUCUAAAUUUGGAAGAUCAGGGUGCACUUCUGAGUGAUGAUGAAAUAUUUGCUAGCCGCCAAACUGGGAAACAUACCUGCAUGGCCUUGCGCAAGUACUUUGAGGCUCACCUGGCCAUUAAAUUAGAACAAGUGAAGCAGUCACUUCAGAGGACUGAGGGUGGCAUUCUUGUUCAUCCUCAACCCCCAUACAAGGCAUGUUCGUAUACUCAUGAACAGAUUGUGGAAAUGAUGGAGUUUUUGAUAGAAUAUGGCCCAGCACAGCUGUAUUGGGAACCAGCUGAAGUCUUCCUCAAACUUUCUUGUGUCCAACUCUUACUGCAGCUUAUUUCUAUUGCCUGCAAUUGGAAGACCUAUUAUGCAAGGAAUGACACUGUGCGCUUUGCUUUGGAUGUCCUGGCUAUUCUCACUGUUGUGCCAAAAAUUCAGCUCCAGUUGGCAGAAUCAGUGGAUGUACUGGAUGAGGCUGGUUCCACUGUCUCCACUGUAGGUAUCAGCAUUAUUUUGGGAGUGGCAGAGGGUGAGUUCUUUAUUCAUGAUGCUGAAAUUCAGAAGUCAGCACUUCAAAUUAUCAUCAAUUGUGUAUGUGGUCCGGAUAACAGAAUUUCUAGUAUUGGCAAAUUUAUAUCUGGAACUCCUCGGAGAAAGUUGCCUCAGACUCCCAAAAGCAGCGAGCACACUCUGGCCAAGAUGUGGAAUGUGGUCCAGUCCAACAAUGGCAUCAAGGUGCUUCUGUCCUUACUGUCCAUCAAGAUGCCCAUCACAGAUGCAGACCAGAUCCGGGCCUUGGCCUGCAAGGCCCUAGUGGGCCUGUCUCGCAGUAGCACCGUCCGGCAGAUCAUCAGCAAACUGCCCCUGUUCAGCAGCUGCCAAAUCCAGCAACUGAUGAAAGAGCCUGUGCUGCAGGACAAGCGCAGUGACCAUGUCAAGUUUUGCAAGUAUGCUGCUGAGCUCAUUGAACGGGUGUCAGGAAAACCACUUCUCAUUGGCACCGAUGUGUCCCUGGCACGACUGCAGAAAGCAGAUGUUGUUGCCCAGUCAAGGAUCUCCUUUCCUGAGAAAGAGCUGCUUCUGCUGAUACGCAACCAUCUCAUUUCUAAAGGGCUUGGGGAGACAGCAACCGUGCUGACUAAAGAGGCUGACCUGCCCAUGACUGCUGCCUCCCAUUCUUCUGCCUUUACCCCCGUCACUGCUGCUGCUUCACCUGUUUCCCUUCCCCGUACACCUCGCAUCGCCAAUGGCAUUGCAACUCGACUGGGCAGCCAUGCUGCUGUGGGUGCCUCUGCCCCUUCUGCCCCCCCUGCUCAUCCUCAGCCACGGGCCCCCCAGGGCUCACUAGCUCUGCCUGGCCCAUCUUAUGUAGGCAACUCCCCUUUGAUUGGUAGGAUCAGUUUUAUCAGAGAGAGGCCAUCACCCUGUAAUGGCAGGAAAAUCAGAGUGUUGCGGCAGAAAUCGGACCAUGGCGCCUACAGCCAAAGCCCAGCCAUAAAAAAACAGUUGGACAGACAUCUUCCUUCCCCACCUACGCUGGACAGUAUCAUCACAGAAUAUCUUAGAGAGCAGCAUGCUCGCUGCAAGAACCCAGUUGCCACCUGCCCACCUUUCUCUCUCUUUACUCCUCACCAGUGUCCUGAGCCAAAACAGAGGCGGCAAGCGCCAAUAAACUUUACCUCAAGGCUAAACCGCAGGGCAUCAUUUCCAAAGUAUGGAGGGGUGGAUGGCGGAUGCUUUGAUAGGCACCUUAUCUUUAGCAGGUUCCGUCCUAUUUCAGUGUUCCGGGAAGCCAAUGAGGAUGAGAGUGGCUUCACCUGCUGUGCAUUCUCAGCACGGGAGCGGUUCCUGAUGCUUGGCACCUGCACUGGGCAGUUGAAGCUGUAUAAUGUGUUUAGUGGACAGGAGGAGGCCAGCUAUAACUGUCACAACUCAGCUAUCACACACCUUGAACCUUCCAGGGACGGGUCCUUGCUGCUGACAUCUGCUACUUGGAGCCAGCCUCUUUCUGCACUUUGGGGAAUGAAAUCAGUAUUUGAUAUGAAGCAUUCCUUUACAGAAGAUCACUAUGUUGAGUUCAGUAAGCACUCUCAGGAUCGGGUGAUAGGCACAAAAGGAGACAUUGCCCAUAUUUAUGAUAUUCAGACUGGCAACAAGCUGUUGACUCUGUUUAACCCAGAUCUCGCCAACAACUACAAGAGGAACUGUGCCACCUUUAAUCCUACAGAUGAUCUUGUCUUAAAUGAUGGCGUCCUCUGGGAUGUCCGCUCUGCACAGGCCAUCCACAAGUUUGACAAAUUCAACAUGAACAUCAGUGGUGUUUUCCAUCCGAAUGGGCUGGAGGUCAUCAUUAAUACUGAGAUUUGGGACCUUCGUACUUUUCAUCUUUUACACACAGUUCCUGCUCUGGAUCAGUGUCGGGUGGUAUUUAACCACACGGGGACAGUGAUGUAUGGAGCUAUGUUGCAGGCAGAUGAUGAAGAUGACUUAAUGGAAGAGAGAAUGAAAAGCCCUUUUGGAUCAUCUUUCAGAACAUUUAAUGCAACUGACUACAAACCUAUAGCAACCAUUGAUGUGAAACGGAACAUCUUUGACCUGUGUACAGACACCAAAGACUGCUAUCUUGCUGUCAUUGAGAACCAAGGCAGCAUGGAUUCUCUGAACAUGGACACGGUGUGCAGGCUUUAUGAAGUGGGCAGGCAGCGUCUGGCAGAGGAUGAGGAUGAAGAGGAAGACCAGGAAGAGGAAGAACAGGAAGAAGAAGAUGAUGAUGAAGAUGACGACGACACUGAUGACCUAGAUGAGCUUGACACUGACCAGUUGCUGGAGGCGGAGUUGGAGGAGGAUGACAACAACGAAAACGCAGGGGAGGAUGGGGACAAUGACUUUUCUCCCUCUGAUGAGGAGCUAGCAAACCUGCUAGAGGAGGGAGAGGACGGGGAGGAUGAAGACUCCGAUGCAGAUGAGGAAGUGGAACUGAUCCUGGGGGACAGUAAGUCUAGGGCUGACCAUGGGGCUAAACCUUGGUACCCAGGGAAAGGUUCCUUCCCUGUGCUAGCCUAGCCCAGAGGACAAGCCACACCAGGGUUCUGACUCCUCGAGGAAAAGCAGUUUCAUAUUUCUGAUCCUGUGCACACUUUCAUGACGACUAGAUAACCAAGUGGCUGUUAUCUCUUUAAAGGAGGUUGGCAGACUUCCAUAAGGGCUGGACUAUAAGUAAUUUUGGCUUUGUGGGCCAUAUGGUCUCUCUUGCAUCUACUCAGCUCUGCUGUUGUAGUGUGUGAGCAGCCAGAGACAAGAUAUAAAUGAUGUGGCUGUGUUCAAAUACAACUUUAUUUACAAAAAUAGGUAGUGGGGCUUGGUUUGGCCCAUGGGCUGUAUGUAGUUUGUUGACCCCAGCUUCAGAGGAUUAACCUUCGAAUGGAAGGGCAAAGUGUAGUUCUCCGGAGAGGCAGGCUGGCAUCGUUGGAUGCAGCUGCUCAUGGAGGUGCUGUACCUGCUCCUUUCUAAGUUAUAAAGAAAUAAAAGCCCUUUUGUGGGUUGGAGCCCUUUUGCAUUUGCUUUUGCCUAGUCCUUAAAGACCCGGGGACAAAUCUUUCUCCUUCUGUUGUGUAAACUGCACCCCCCCUUUUUUUCUUCCUUUUUCUUUUCCUGAAGAACAAGUUCCAGUUUUUCUGGUACUUUCCCAGUAGUACAGUUUUUGAAGUCCAUCAUCCCCUGCUUAUACUGAUGGAUCCUGAGUAAAUCAGAUAAUGGUUCUAAGAGACAGUGAGCUCUGCAGCUGUACUGUGCAUGUUUUAAGAGGACAUAUUGGGCAGCAUCACUGUCACACCUGUCACUGUUGACAGACUCAUGCUUACUCUGGCCCUGGUUCUUCCUAGUGCUGCCCUGCCUGACUGGGGAGCAAUCCCUGUGAUAUCCAGCCAUUUUUCAUGUAUUUAAUAACCUGGCCAGCAUUCUCACAGCCGUGGUAGGUAUUAUGCCUAAUAGUGUAGCCAGUGUGGCCAUUAAAAUUUUAAUUAAAAAUUCACUUCAUUUUCAUGUCCACACUUCAAGUGCACUACUACCACAUUGAAUAGCACAGAUAUAGAGCAUUUACAUUGUUACAGAAAUGUCUGUUGUGCCUAGGCCCAACAAAUGCCAAGCCUCUUCAGAGUAGAUGCCUGGUUUUCAUAACCACUGGUGUUGGUGGUAGGGAACAGCAGUGGGGUGGGAAGAGGGAGUGUGUUGUGUGGUAGGAGAGGGGAGGGGAGGUGGCGGCAGAUAUUAAAGCAUAUGGGGUGAAAGAUUUCUCCUGUUCCAGUGACAUGAAACCAUUUUCUUUGGGAUAAAUCUCAUACAUGCUUCUAGCCCUCAAGAUUGAAGGCAGUUUGGCUUAGGGGAGACUGUCCUUCUUUCGUAAGGCCUCUUGCCACAGUUGUAUUUUGAGGAAGCUCUGUGGGGCUGGGAGGGAGUGCCUCAUGUCUGCCCAUCUGCUGUUUGCCAACUUCCAUUUUUUUGUACUUGGAGGUUGAGGUGAUUCAGUGAAGGAGGACUGGCCUUGUCCCUGGCCAUGGUCAGAGAGCCAGCUGACACCUCUGACAACUCUGAUCUGGAAGAUGACAUCAUCUUAUCUCUAAACGAGUGAGGAGCCACAUGGAAGAGAUUCUUAGCAGGCGAGAAAAUAAGUCAAAUGAAUUCAGAACAUCUUCCCUUCCCUUUCUCCCAGGGCUCUUAUAAGGAACUGCAUGCCCUGCUUUCAGAGGAUUAUGGCUUAGAGAGUCUCACUGGAAUCUGAAGGUCCUUCUAAAAACAAUAACAACCACAAAAAAAAAGACAACAGGGGUUAGGCCCUAUUCUGCUUCCCCUUUCUCCUAGGAUGGACAUAUCUUUCCUCAAGGGAAAAAAACAAAACAAAACAUGUCUCUGGGGUUAUUUCACAAUAUAUUUUCUUUGUAUAAUGUUCUUUACUUAAAGAACAAGAAAUAGUUUUUUAUAAAACUUAAAAAGAAAAAAAAAAGGCAUUUAUAACUGAGGGUAUGAACUUAUAUCCACCAGGUCUCUUGUCCCGGCACUUCAUUUUCUAUGGAAGAAAAUGAUGUCUAAAGAACAAUAUAGAGGCAUUUUUACAUACGUAUUUAAAUGAAAAGGAAAAUCGUGGUUUCUUAAAUUGAUAAGGAUUAAGAAUAUUUUAUUAUAAAUAUAAUAUAUGAUUUUUUAACCCAUUUUGUUGCCUCAUAUGCUGUCAAGUUAAUUUGUUUUCCUUCAUGCCAGAGGUGGGGGGAGGAAGACACUGCUUGUUUGCUGAGUAAAUGCCUAGGUUCACCCACCUUCAUGGUUUGGGGGCAGCAAGGUCAUUGUGGAUAUUGGUUUUGUGGAGUUGAGGGAACUUAGGAUAUAAGUUCACUCCCUCUAUUUUUCUUUGUGAUUCAGUUUUUCAAAAAUCUGUUUUUCUUCCCUUUCUCCCCAAUGUGGAAAUUACAAAUCAAAGGCCUUUUUCUUUAAUGUAAAGUGUAUUUAUUUAAAAAAAAUACAAAAUAAACUACAAGUCUGUCUUCGUUUGUU